rnacentral:rRNA from 1 species
AUUGAACGCUGGCGGCAUGCCUUACACAUGCAAGUCGAACGGCAGCACGGGAGCAAUCCUGGUGGCGAGUGGCGAACGGGGUGAGUAAUAUAUCGGAACGUGCCCAGUCUGGGGGAUAACGUAGCGAAAGCUACGCUAAUACCGCAUACGAUCUAUGGAUGAAAGCGGGGGAUCGCAAGGACCUCGCGCGAUUGGAGCGGCCGAUAUCAGAUUAGGUAGUUGGUGAGGUAAAGGCUCACCAAGCCGACGAUCUGUAGCUGGUCUGAGAGGACGACC